GACGAACGCUGGCGGCGUGCCUAAUACAUGCAAGUCGAGCGCAGGAAAUCGACGGAACCCUUCGGGGGGAAGUCGACGGAAUGAGCGGCGGACGGGUGAGUAACACGUAAAGAACCUGCCCUCAGGUCUGGGAUAACCACGAGAAAUCGGGGCUAAUACCGGAUGGGUCAUCGGACCGCAUGGUCCGAGGAUGAAAGGCGCUCCGGCGUCGCCUGGGGAUGGCUUUGCGGUGCAUUAGCUAGUUGGUGGGGUAAUGGCCCACCAAGGCGACGAUGCAUAGCCGACCUGAGAGGGUGAUCGGCCACACUGGGACUGAGACACGGCCCAGACUCCUACGGGAGGCAGCAGUAGGGAAUCUUCCACAAUGGACGAAAGUCUGAUGGAGCAACGCCGCGUGAACGAUGAAGGCCUUCGGGUCGUAAAGUUCUGUUGUAAGGGAAGAACAAGUGCCGCAGGCAAUGGCGGCACCUUGACGGUACCUUGCGAGAGAGCCACGGCUAACUACGUGCCAGCCGCCGCAGUAA
rnacentral:rRNA from 1 species